rnacentral:rRNA from 1 species
GGUGGUGCAUGGUUGUCGUCAGCUCGUGUCGUGAGAUGUUGGGUUAAGUCCCGCAACGAGCGCAACCCCUAUCUUUAGUUGCCAUCAGGUUGGGCUGGGCACUCUAGAGAGACUGCCGGUGACAAGCCGGAGGAAGGUGGGGAUGACGUCAAAUCAUCAUGCCCCUUAUGACCUGGGCUACACACGUGCUACAAUGGGAAGUACAACGAGUCGCUAGACCGCGAGGUUAUGCAAAUCUCUUAAAGCUUCUCUCAGUUCGGAUUGCAGGCUGCAACUCGCCUGCAUGAAGCCGGAAUCGCUAGUAAUCGCGGAUCAGCACGCCGCGGUGAAUACGUUCCCGGGUCUUGUACACAC